GUAUUUCUUUUCGAAACCAAUUAAAAGGGAAUCAGGUGAGAGUCCUGAACAGUCCCGCUGCUGUAAGUUCUAUAUAAUAAGGUUAGCAGACAUUUUUGCCACUGAAUUCGUUUGGGAAGGCGUUUGCUGAUUGGAACAAGUCAGAAGACCUGCCAUAUAUUUU
rnacentral:ncRNA from 1 species